CGGCGGGGUUAAGAAGGAACCUACACAUUUCAACGCAGCUGGAGUGGAGCCUGAGAAAGUGACAAAGGCACAGCUCGCGUGCGUGGCCGUGGCCGGGGCAUGCCGCGCCUCCGAUCGGGAACCACAAAGAUGUCCAUUAAACAGCGGCCAAUGAAAUACAGAGACGGGGUCCGGAACCUGGGGAAACCUGCCGACUGCGGGUGGCAACUGCCCCUGGAAACUUGUGUAGAGAGACCUGGCCUUCUCCAGGGGGCUGUUUUCCCAGAAGCCCAGGACAGGUCACCUCUGCCAUUACACACCUACAGCUGAAGAAGAGAUGACAUUGACUCACUGCCAGGAAAGCCCGUACCAGAGGUAGAAACAGAAUGAGGGGUGCCCUCGCUGGUUUAGCUCAGUGGAUAGAGCGUCGGCCUGCAGACUGAAGGGUCCUGGGUUCGAUUCCCGUCAAGGGCACAUGCCCGGGUUACGGGCUUGAUCCUCAGUAGGGGGCGUGCAGGAGGCAGCCGAUCAAUGAUUCUCUCUCAUCAUGGAUCUCUCUCUCUCUC